UCUCCGUUGGUGAACCAGCGGAGGGAUCAUUGUUGAACUUGUCGCAAGACAUCUUCUGUAACCCUUUGUGAACUUAUACCUAUCGUUGCCUCGGCGUACGCUGGGGGCUUUCAGCCCUCCCAGGUCUCCUGGAGCAGGCGCGCCGGCGGCCCUUUCAAAACUCUGUUUUUACAGUGUCUCUUCUGAGUAAAAUUCAAAAUGAAUCAAAACUUUCAACAACGGAUCUCUUGGUUCUGGCAUCGAUGAAGAACGCAGC
rnacentral:misc_RNA from 1 species